UACAGAGGUCCCAAGCGUUGUUCGGAUUCAUUGGGCGUAAAGGGUGCGUAGGCGGCGCGGUAAGUCGGGUGUGAAAUCUCGGGGCUUAACUCCAGAACUGCCUUUGAUACUGAGGAUCUUGAGUUCGGGAGAGGUGAGUGGAACUGCGAGUGUAGAGGUGAAAUUCGUAGAUAUUCGCAAGAACACCAGUGGCGAAGGCGGCUCACUGGCCCGGUACUGACGCUGAGACGCGAAAGCGUGGGGAGCGAACAGG
rnacentral:rRNA from 1 species